rnacentral:rRNA from 1 species
CUGGAGGUAUCAGAAGUGCGAAUGCUGACAUAAGUAACGAUAAAGCGGGUGAAAAGCCCGCUCGCCGGAAGACCAAGGGUUCCUGUCCAACGUUAAUCGGGGCAGGGUGAGUCGACCCCUAAGGCGAGGCCGAAAGGCGUAGUCGAUGGGAAACAGGUUAAUAUUCCUGUACUUGGUGUUACUGCGAAGGGGGGACGGAGAAGGCUAUGUUGGCCGGGCGACGGUUGUCCCGGUUUAAGCGUGUAGGCUGGUUUUCCAGGCAAAUCCGGAAAAUCAAGGCUGAGGCGUGAUGACGAGGCACUACGGUGCUGAAGCAACAAAUGCCCUGCUUCCAGGAAAAGCCUCUAAGCAUCAGGUAACAUCAAAUCGUACCCCAAACCGACACAGGUGGUCAGGUAGAGAAUACCAAGGCGCUUGAGAGAACUCGGGUGAAGGAACUAGGCAAAAUGGUGCCGUAACUUCGGGAGAAGGCACGCUGAUAUGUAGGUGAAGCGACUUGCUCGUGGAGCUGAAAUCAGUCGAAGAUACCAGCUGGCUGCAACUGUUUAUUAAAAACACAGCACUGUGCAAACACGAAAGUGGACGUAUACGGUGUGACGCCUGCCCGGUGCCGGAAGGUUAAUUGAUGGGGUUAGCGGUAACGCGAAGCUCUUGAUCGAAGCCCCGGUAAACGGCGGCCGUAACUAUAACGGUCCUAAGGUAGCGAAAUUCCUUGUCGGGUAAGUUCCGACCUGCACGAAUGGCGUAAUGAUGGCCAGGCUGUCUCCACCCGAGACUCAGUGAAAUUGAACUCGCUGUGAAGAUGCAGUGUACCCGCGGCAAGACGGAAAGACCCCGUGAACCUUUACUAUAGCUUGACACUGAACAUUGAGCCUUGAUGUGUAGGAUAGGUGGGAGGCUUUGAAGUGUGGACGCCAGUCUGCAUGGAGCCGGCCUUGAAAUACCACCCUUUAAUGUUUGAUGUUCUAACGUUGGCCCCUGAUCGGGGUUGCGGACAGUGUCUGGUGGGUAGUUUGACUGGGGCGGUCUCCUCCUAAAGAGUAACGGAGGAGCACGAAGGUUGGCUAAUCCUGGUCGGACAUCAGGAGGUUAGUGCAAUGGCAUAAGCCAGCUUGACUGCGAGCGUGACGGCGCGAGCAGGUGCGAAAGCAGGUCAUAGUGAUCCGGUGGUUCUGAAUGGAAGGGCCAUCGCUCAACGGAUAAAAGGUACUCCGGGGAUAACAGGCUGAUACCGCCCAAGAGUUCAUAUCGACGGCGGUGUUUGGCACCUCGAUGUCGGCUCAUCACAUCCUGGGGCUGAAGUAGGUCCCAAGGGUAUGGCUGUUCGCCAUUUAAAGUGGUACGCGAGCUGGGUUUAGAACGUCGUGAGACAGUUCGGUCCCUAUCUGCCGUGGGCGCUGGAGAACUGAGGGGGGCUGCUCCUAGUACGAGAGGACCGGAGUGGACGCAUCACUGGUGUUCGGGUUGUCAUGCCAAUGGCACUGCCCGGUAGCUAAAUGCGGAAGAGAUAAGUGCUGAAAGCAUCUAAGCACGAAACUUGCCCCGAGAUGAGUUCUCCCUGAGACUUAGAGUCUCCUGAAGGAACGUUGAAGACGACGACGUUGAUAGGCCGGGUGUGUAAGCGCAGCGAUGCGUUGAGCUAACCGGUACUAAUGAACCGUGAGGCUUAACCUUACAACGCCGAAG